UGGAAAAUGUAGGAAAAGAAGAAGAUACAGAUCUGGGAAAGAGGGAAUCGAAUAUGAAGAGGAUAAGGGGGAAAAUAGAGGGAAUGGUAUCUUGGAGGAGGGAGGAGAUCUGGGAUUUAAGCUUGGAUAUACAAAGAAGGGCGAUAGCAAAUGUGAGAAGGGGAGAAGGAAAAUCAUGAUAAAAAAUAAAGCCAGAAAUAAAGGUAAGACUCACCAAGAUGAGGAUGUGAAGAGCAAUACAAUUGCAAAUGAAGGAAGUGGGCAUGAGGCUCAGCAAGAAGGUAACAAUGGAGACAACCUAGGUUUGGAGGUUUCUAUGCUUAUGGAUUCCUCAUCCCCAAUUUCGAACACUAGAUCGGUGGACCUUGCGGGACAAGGUUGUCGGGCCCAAUGAGUCUAUUGUGUUGGGACGUCCAAGGAGUGGGGAACCUUGGCACGUUCAAUGCUAUUCUUUCCCAUGUGAAACAAUUUCAACCUGAGAUUGUUUUCAUAAGUGAAAGUAAAUUAUCUAGGAAGUAAGCAGAGGAUCUAAUGAUAAAGCUGAUUUUUUUUGAAGUUUUGGCCGGUUGACAGGAAUGGCCCUAGUGGUGGUCUCCUUUUAAUGUGGAAUGAUACGGUCAACAUAGAUAAUUGCAAGGGGCAUAUCGCGACUAAUGUUUCUGGUAAUGGUUUCUUGCCUUGGGUCUUUACUGGCUUCUAUGGUAACCCAAUCCAGGCUUUAAGGAAUCAAUCUUGGGACCUCCUCAGGAGAUUGCACCGACUUAGGCAGGGAGCUUGGCUAGUUUGUGGUGACUUUAAUGAAAUUACUAGCAAUUCAGAGAAGAUUGGUGGAAGGGAGCGACAACCCAGAAUGCUAAAUAGUUUCAGAAAUGCUAUCGUUGACUGCAAUCUUAUUGACUUUCGGGAUGUUCAGAAUGAAAUGAAUUGGUGCAACAAUCACAGAGGGAGUGGUGUUAUGGAGCGACUGGACAUAGCACUUUGUAGCUCCGAGUGGUUUGACCACUUUCCUAUGGCCACGGUGAAUGUCCUUGAUUUGUGGGAAUCGAACCAUAGGGCCUUGGUGGUCAAAUGGUCUAUCAAAUAUUCAUAAAAGAAAUGUGGCAAGAAGAAGCGAAACUCGUGGUUCUAUUUUGAAGAAGCACGGUGAGAAGAAGCGAAUUGCAAGGCCAUUAUUGUAGAUUGUUGGAUGAAUUAUCAUGGAAAUGGGACUAUUAUUGACUUUAAACAGAAGAUGUCGAGAUGUGGUAAUCGCUUAGUUGGCUAGAAUAAUAAAAGGAAGAAAGAGAUGAGCAAAGAGAUGAAGGAGGUGAAGAAAAAGCUGAAAGAGCUCUCUACCACAAACGAUCCUAAAGUUUGGCCAGAGAAAAUAAACAUGGAGAUGAAGUUGAGUUGUUUGGUGGAAAAAAAGGAGACUUAUUGGCGUAAAAAAAGCAGAGCCCUAUGGCUCAAAUGGGGUGACAAAAAUACUAAAUAUUUCCAUCACAAGGCUUCGACAAGAAGGAAGAAGAACGAGAUUUCGGGCCUAAAUGAUUACUCCAAACGAUGGCAAGAUGAGGAGGAAAUUGUGUUGAAUAUUAUCUGUAAGUAUUUUAAUACUUUUUUUCCUCCUCAAAUCCAAACAUGUCUAUCAUUAAUGAGGUGACCCAGUGUGUGGGAAGGAAAAUUGAUGAUAAUGUUAAUAUGAUAUUGUUGCAAAAAAAAUAAAUAGUAUGCUUGCAAGAGGCACAACUCAAACUACAAAUCGAACUAGUAGUAAAGAAGUCCAAAGACUGAUAUCGUCCCACUGGGAUUAAAAUCAAUUAAAUAAAUUAAAAAUACUAAAUCCUAACUUUAUCUAAGUAAUCAAUUUCAAAAGAUAAUAAUAACUUAAAAUAAAAUAUAAAUUUUAAAGAACGAAUAAUUAAAUAGAAAUAAACUCAAGAUAAGAACGAUUGUUAAUGUUUAAACUUCACUCUUUAAAAAAUUAUAAUCCUAAUUAUUAAUGUGUUUAAUUCGAUCCAAUAUUUUCAAGAACCUAGAGCAUUGUUUUAUCUCUAUACCCUUUCUCAAGUGCCACAUAAAGAAUGUGUAAGUGACAACUAGCCUAUAUCUUUAUACGAUUAAUUAUCCUUACAUUCAUUAAGUUCCACCCUAGAAAUAAUUCUAAAUAUUCCACCUCUCAAUUUCACAAUCUAGAACUAUUUUUCCUACCUAGAUCCAUGCUUAUCUCUUGAUCUCACACAAUCUAAGUUGUUCUCCAUGCCGUCGUCGGAUUUUAAAUGUUCCUCUCUUGAGUAAUAAUUCUCACAAUCUAAAUAUAGCCAUUAUAAUAAUAUACUGCAAAAACAAUAUAAAAAUCACAAUUAUAGCAACAAUGAUUUAAAGUAGAACAUAAGAACAAUAUUGGACUAAAUUAAACUUUGCAUUAAAUCAUAGAAAUAAAAUCAUAUCAAGAGAUCUGUCUACACCCUAAUAAACAAGAAAACUAGCCACACAUAAUGUGGUUUAUAAUCUCGAACAUAUUGUAAUUAUCUGGAAAUAUCAAAGAAAUAAAGAAAAACUAAAGAACUUCGUUGAUAUGACUUAAAGUAGAACACAAGAACGAUAUUGGACUAAAUUAAACUUUGCAUUAAAUCAUAGAAAUAAAAUCAUAUUAAGAGAUUCGUCUACACCCUAAAAAACAAGAAAACUAACCACACAUAAUGUGGUUUAUAAUCUCAAACAUAUUGUAAUUAUCCAAAAAAAUCAAAGAAAUAAAGAAAAACUAAACAACUUCGUUGAUAUGGCUUUGGUUCACUCCUUAGAUCUUCCACAAUGAGUCUCUCCCUCCAAAUAUGUUUCUCUUCCUUUUUAUAUGUGUUUUGGUCGUAACCUAGCCUCUAGAAACGUCCUUGGGCGACUUCCCCACGACUUGGAAUAAACAAAUGUGUGAAAAAACACGUUUUUCAAAUUUUAUGGCACAACAGGCGACGCAUCGCUGGACAACAGGCGACGCAUUGCCUGGGAUUUUUCCCAGGUGACCGCUAAGGGAUCAAAUGAUUGAUCGUUCUCAAAGGUCAUUUUUAACUUAUUUCACGCUCGAACCAGAGGUAAAGGGAAAGAAAAGCUCACCCAACCUUGAGUGGAGAGCUUAGGUGGUGAUGUGUACAUAUGCAGCAGCUUGACCAUCAUGGGCAAGGUGUUUCUCAGAGGAACAAGGGGUUAACCCUAUUUUUGCCGCUUAGGUCGGCAGGUUGUAACUUUUACAUUGUAAUGACCAUUUUGGAUUGUAAAUAACUUUGUAAAUAUUUUUAUGGUUCCAAGUACUGUUUUAUCUUUUAAAUAAAAUAUAUCCAUUCAUUUU